AUUGAACGCUGGCGGCAUGCUUUACACAUGCAAGUCGGACGGCAGCACAGAGAAGCUUGCUUCUUGGGUGGCGAGUGGCGAACGGGUGAGUAACAUAUCGGAACGUACCGAGCAGUGGGGGAUAACUAAUCGAAAGAUUAGCUAAUACCGCAUAUUUUCUGAGGAAGAAAGCAGGGGACCUUUGGGUCUUGCGCUGUUUGAGCGGCCGAUAUCUGAUUAGCUAGUUGGUGGGGUAAAGGCCUACCAAGGCGACGAUCAGUAGCGGGUCUGAGAGGAUGAUCCGCCACACUGGGACUGAGACACGGCCCAGACUCCUACGGGAGGCAGCAGUGGGGAAUUUUGGACAAUGGGCGCAAGCCUGAUCCAGCCAUGCCGCGUGUCUGAAGAAGGCCUUCGGGUUGUAAAGGACUUUUGUCAGGGAAGAAAAGGGCGGGGUUAAUACCCCUGUCUGAUGACGGUACCUGAAGAAUAAGCACCGGCUAACUACGUG
rnacentral:rRNA from 1 species